AUAACCGGCGAUACCCGAAUGGGGAAACCCAGUGUGACUCGUCACACUAUCAUUAACUGAAUCCAUAGGUUAAUGAGGCGAACCGGGGGAACUGAAACAUCUAAGUACCCCGAGGAAAAGAAAUCAACCGAGAUUCCCCCAGUAGCGGCGAGCGAACGGGGAGGAGCCCAGAGCCUGAAUCAGCAUGUGUGUUAGUGGAAGCGUCUGGAAAGGCGCGCGAUACAGGGUGACAGCCCCGUACACAAAAGCGCAUGUGCUGUGAGCUCGAUGAGUAGGGCGGGACACGUGGUAUCCUGUCUGAAUAUGGGGGGACCAUCCUCCAAGGCUAAAUACUCCUGACUGACCGAUAGUGAACCAGUACCGUGAGGGAAAGGCGAAAAGAACCCCGGCGAGGGGAGUGAAAAAGAACCUGAAACCGU
rnacentral:rRNA from 1 species